rnacentral:lncRNA from 1 species
UGAAGGUCGAAGGGGAAGAAAAGCUGUAUCGAUUGUUGAGAUCUGGCGACUUGUUUAAAUUUCAUCAGCCUCACUUCUAUGAACUCUCAGGACAGCUCACAGUAUGGCAGCUGACAUUCUACAGAGUGAGCAGGUGAAGGAAAGAAAGAAAAGGCCUCACGUGUACCAGCUCUCUGCUCUCCUUUGCCUUGGGACGUUCCAUCCCUGGAAGUUUCCCUGCCCACAUCUUUGUAGAGAGUCCAUUCUCCAAGCUUCAGUGUGUCAUCUGUGAGGACCGUGACCCACCUGGUACAUCGCCUCAGGGCAUUCAUUUCAGGCUCCUUCUAAAUGGCCAAGGUAUUAUGGUUGACCCUAAAGAAGCAUCAGCUUGGCUUUGCACCAAAGAAGUUUUUAGUCAAGUUGGAGAGAGAUCACUACUCAAAGAACGCAAGAGACUAAUGGAAGACAGAAUAUAUUGGCAGCAGACUAAAAGGCAGAAUGGUCACACUUCAAAAUGUUUGGUACAAGCUAUGGUGAUGUUAUUGAUCUUCUGAUUUGAUGUUCCUGUGAAGGUUCUAUGACCUAUUUUGAUAUGUAGACAGUGGUAAAAUGCUCAAAGCUCUUU